AAGCUCGUAGUUGAACCUUGGGCCUGGCUGGCCGGUCCGCCUCACCGCGUGUACUGGUCCGGCCGGGCCUUUCCCUCUGUGGAACCCCAUGCCCUUCACUGGGUGUGGCGGGGAAACAGGACUUUUACUGUGAAAAAAUUAGAGUGCUCCAGGCAGGCCUAUGCUCGAAUACAUUAGCAUGGAAUAAUAGAAUAGGACGUGUGGUUCUAUUUUGUUGGUUUCUAGGACCGCCGUAAUGAUUAAUAGGGACAGUCGGGGGCAUCAGUAUUCAAUUGUCAGAGGUGAAAUUCUUGGAUUUAUUGAAGACUAACUACUGCGAAAGCAUUUGCCAAGGAUGUUUUCAUUAAUCAGGAACGAAAGUUAGGGGAUCGAAGACGAUCAGAUACCGUCGUAGUCUUAACCAUAAACUAUGCCGACUAGGGAUCGGACGAUGUUAUUUUUUGACUCGUUCGGCACCUUACGGGAAAC
rnacentral:rRNA from 1 species